rnacentral:rRNA from 1 species
GAUGAACGCUGGCGGCGUGCCUAAUACAUGCAAGUCGAGCGAACAGACGAGGAGCUUGCUCCUCUGACGUUAGCGGCGGACGGGUGAGUAACACGUGGAUAACCUACCUAUAAGACUGGGAUAACUUCGGGAAACCGGAGCUAAUACCGGAUAAUAUAUUGAACCGCAUGGUUCAAUAGUGAAAGACGGUUUUGCUGUCACUUAUAGAUGGAUCCGCGCCGAAUUAGCUAGUUGGUAAGGUAACGGCUUACCAAGGCGACGAUGCGUAGCCGACCUGAGAGGGUGAUCGGCCACACUGGAACUGAGACACGGUCCAGACUCCUGCGGUAGGCAGCAGUAGGGAAUCUUCCGCAAUGCGCGAAAGCCUGACAGAGCAACGCCGCGUGAGUGAUGAAGGUCUUCGGAUCGUAAAACUCUGUUAUUAGGGAAGAACAAAUGUGUAAGUAACUAUGCACGUCUUGACGGUACCUAAUCAGAAAGCCACGGCUAACUACGUG